rnacentral:rRNA from 1 species
GACGAACGCUGGCGGCGUGCUUAACACAUGCAAGUCGAACGAUGAAGCCGGAGCUUGCUCCGGUGGAUUAGUGGCGAACGGGUGAGUAACACGUGAGCAAUCUGCCCUUGACUCUGGGAUAACUGCGGGAAACUGUAGCUAAUACCGGAUACGACACCUUGGGGCAUCCCAGGGGGUGGAAAGAAUUUCGGUCAAGGAUGAGCUCGCGGCCUAGCAGCUAGUUGGUGAGGUAAUGGCUCACCAAGGCGACGACGGGUAGCCGGGCUGAGAGGGUGACCGGCCACACUGGACCUGAGACACGGUCCAGACUCCUACGGGAGGCAGCAGUGGGGAAUAUUGCACAAUGGGCGAAAGCCUGAUGCAGCAACGCCGCGUGAGGGAUGAAGGCCUUCGGGUUGUAAACCUCUUUUAGCAGGGAAGAAGCGAAAGUGACGGUACCUGCAGAAAAAGCACCGGCUAACUACGUGCCAGCCGCCGCAGUAA